rnacentral:rRNA from 1 species
AUUGAACGCUGGCGGCAUGCCUUACACAUGCAAGUCGAACGGCAGCACGGGAGCAAUCCUGGUGGCGAGUGGCGAACGGGUGAGUAAUAUAUCGGAACGUGCCCAGUCGUGGGGGAUAACGUAGCGAAAGCUACGCUAAUACCGCAUACGAUCUAUGGAUGAAAGCGGGGGAUCGCAAGACCUCGCGCGAUUGGAGCGGCCGAUAUCAGAUUAGGUAGUUGGUGAGGUAAAGGCUCACCAAGCCGACGAUCUGUAGCUGGUCUGAGAGGACGACCAGCCACACUGGGACUGAGACACGGCCCAGACUCCUACGGGAGGCAGCAGUGGGGAAUUUUUGGACAAUGGGCGCAAAGCCCUUGAUCCAGCAAUGCCGCGUGCAGGA